CUCAGGAUGAACGCUAGCUACAGGCUUAACACAUGCAAGUCGAGGGGAAACGAUAUUGGAAGCUUGCUUCUGAUAGGCGUCGACCGGCGCACGGGUGAGUAACGCGUAUCCAACCUGCCCAUCACUUGGGGAUAACCUUGCGAAAGUAAGACUAAUACCCAAUGACGUCUCUAGAAGACAUCUGAAAGAGAUUAAAGAUUUAUCGGUGAUGGAUGGGGAUGCGUCUGAUUAGCUUGUUGGCGGGGUAACGGCCCACCAAGGCGACGAUCAGUAGGGGUUCUGAGAGGAAGGUCCCCCACAUUGGAACUGAGACACGGUCCAAACUCCUACGGGAGGCAGCAGUGAGGAAUAUUGGUCAAUGGACGAGAGUCUGAACCAGCCAAGUAGCGUGCAGGAUGACGGCCCUAUGGGUUGUAAACUGCUUUUAUAAAGGAAUAAAGUCGGGUAUGCAUACCCGUUUGCAUGUACUUUAUGAAUAAGGAUCGGCUAACUCCGUG
rnacentral:rRNA from 1 species